rnacentral:rRNA from 1 species
GGGCCCGCACAAGCGGUGGAGCAUGUGGUUUAAUUCGAUGAUACGCGAGGAACCUUACCAGGGCUUAAAUGUAGUGGGACAGGUCUAGAGAUAGACCCUUCUUCGGACUCAUUACAAGGUGCUGCAUGGUUGUCGUCAGCUCGUGCCGUGAGGUGUCAGGUUAAGUCCUAUAACGAGCGCAACCCCUAUCGUUAGUUGCCAGCGGGUCAUGCCGGGAACUCUAGCGAAACUGCCGGUGCAAACCGUGAGGAAGGUGGGGAUGACGUCAAAUCAUCACGGCCCUUACGUCCUGGGCUACACACGUGCUACAAUGGCCGGUACAGAGAGCAGCCACUACGCGAGUAGGAGCGAAUCUACAAAACCGGUCUCAGUUCGGAUCGCAGUCUGCAACUCGACUGCGUGAAGCUGGAAUCGCUAGUAAUCGG